rnacentral:rRNA from 1 species
UAGGGAAUCUUCCACAAUGGACGAAAGUCUGAUGGAGCAAUGCCGCGUGAGCGAAGAAGGUUUUCGGAUCGUAAAGCUCUGUUGUAAGGGAAGAACAAGUACGGGAGUAACUGCCCGUGCCAUGACGGUACCUUAUUAGAAAGCCACGGCUAACUACGUGCCAGCAGCCGCGGUAAUACGUAGGUGGCAAGCGUUGUCCGGAAUUAUUGGGCGUAAAGCGCGCGCAGGCGGUUCUUUAAGUCUGAUGUGAAAGCCCACGGCUCAACCGUGGAGGGUCAUUGGAAACUGGGGAACUUGAGUACAGAAGAGGAAAGCGGAAUUCCACGUGUAGCGGUGAAAUGCGUAGAGAUGUGGAGGAACACCAGUGGCGAAGGCGGCUUUCUGGUCUGUAACUGACGCUGAGGCGCGAAAGCGUGGGGAGCAAACAG